GGGUCAUGCUUCCAAGAAAAGCCCUAUACCCGUUAAGGCAUGAUGGCCUGUACCCGAAACCGACACAGGUGGGGUGGUAGAGAAUACCGAGGGGCGCGAGGUAACUCUCUCUAAGGAACUCGGCAAAAUGGCCCCGUAACUUCGGGAGAAGGGGUGCCACCGCAAGGUGGUCGCAGUGAAGAGGCCCAGGCGACUGUUUACCAAAAACACAGGUCUCCGCUAAGUCGCAAGACGAUGUAUGGGGGCUGACGCCUGCCCAGUGCCGGAAGGUUAAGGAAGCUGGUCAGCGUAAGCGAAGCUAGCGACUGAAGCCCCGGUGAACGGCGGCCGUAACUAUAACGGUCCUAAGGUAGCGAAAUUCCUUGUCGGGUAAGUUCCGACCCGCACGAAAGGCGUAACGAUCUGGGCGCUGUCUCGGAGAGAGGCUCGGCGAAAUAGAAUUGUCUGUGAAGAUGCGGACUACGUGCACCCGGACAGAAAGACCCUAUGAAGCUUUACUGUAGCUUGGUAUUGUGCUCGGGCUCGGAAUGCGCAGGAUAGGUGGGAGGCUAUGAACCAUUGCUUGUGGGUGAUGGUGAGCCACUGGUGAGAUACCACUCUUUCCGAGCUAGAGUUCUAACAGCCACCCGUUAUCCGGGGGCUGGACAGUAUCAGGUGGGCAGUUUGACUGGGGCGGUCGCCUCCUAAAAGGUAACGGAGGCGCGCAAAGGUUUGCUCAGGCUGGUUGGAAAUCAGCCGACGAGUGUAAAAGCAGAAGCAAGCUUGACUGUGAGACCUACAAGUCGAACAGGGAGGAAACUCGGCUUUAGUGAUCCGACGGUUCUGCGUGGAAGGGCCGUCGCUCAACGGAUAAAAGUUACUCUAGGAUAACAGGCUGAUCUCCCCCAAGAGUUCACAUCGACGGGGAGGUUUGGCACCUCGAUGUCGGCUCAUCGCAACCUGGGGCUGAAGUCGGUCCCAAGGGUUGGGCUGUUCGCCCAUUAAAGCGGUACGCGAGCUGGGUUCAGAACGUCGUGAGACAGUUCGGUCCAUAUCCGGUGCAUGCGCAGGAAUAUUGAGAGGAUUUCUCCCUAGUACGAGAGGACCGGGAGGAACGCACCUCUGGUGUACCAGUUAUCGUGCCAACGGUAAACGCUGGGUAGCCAUGUGCGGAGAGGAUAACCGCUGAAAGCAUCUAAGUGGGAAGCCCACCUCAAGAUGAGUAUUCCCAUGGGGUAACCCAGUAAGGUCACGGGAAGAACACCCGUUGAUAGGCUCUACGUGGAAGCGCAGUAAUGUGUGAAGCGGAGGAGUACUAAUAGUCCGAGGGCUUGAC
rnacentral:rRNA from 1 species